rnacentral:tRNA from 2 species
GCGGGUGUAGCUCAGUGGUAGAGCAUCACGUUGCCAACGUGAGGGUCGAGAGUUCGAAUCUCUUCACCCGCUCCA